UGGGGAAUAUUGGACAAUGGGCGAAAGCCUGAUCCAGCCAUGCCGCGUGAGUGACGAAGGCCUUAGGGUUGUAAAACUCUUUCGUCGGGGACGAUAAUGACGGUACCCGAAGAAGAAGCUCCGGCUAACUUCGUGCCAGCAGCCGCGGUAAUACGAAGGGAGCUAGCGUUGUUCGGAAUCACUGGGCGUAAAGCGCACGUAGGCGGAUAGUUAAGUCAGGGGUGAAAUCCUGGGGCUCAACCCCAGAACUGCCUUUGAUACUGGCUGUCUCGAGGUCGAGAGAGGUUGGUGGAAUUCCUAGUGUAGAGGUGAAAUUCGUAGAUAUUAGGAAGAACACCAGUGGCGAAGGCGGCCAACUAGCUCGAUACUGACGCUGAGGUGCGAAAGCGUGGGGAGCAAACAGGAUUAGAUACCCCCGUAGUCCCUGAGCGGGCUGGCAAGGCGCAU
rnacentral:rRNA from 1 species